rnacentral:rRNA from 1 species
UACGAGGGGGGGCAAGCGUUGUUCGGAUUCAUUGGGCGUAAAGGGUGCGUAGGUGGCGCCAUAAGUCAGGUGUGAAAUCUCGGAGCUCAACUCCGAAACUGCACUUGAUACUGUGGUGCUUGAGUACUGGAGAGGAGAUUGGAAUUUACGGUGUAGCAGUGAAAUGCGUAGAUAUCGUAAGGAAGACCAGUGGCGAAGGCGAAUCUCUGGACAGUUACUGACACUGAGGCACGAAGGCCAGGGGAGCAAACGGG